CAGUAGCCGCGGGAAUACGAAGGGGGCUAGCGUUGCUCGGAAUUACUGGGCGUAAAGGGCGCGUAGGCGGACAGCUAAGUUGGGGGUGAAAGCCCGGGGCUCAACCUCGGAAUUGCCUCCAAUACUGGCUGUCUUGAGUAUGAGAGAGGUGUGUGGAACUCCGAGUGUAGAGGUGAAAUUCGUAGAUAUUCGGAAGAACACCAGUGGCGAAGGCGACACACUGGCUCAUUACUGACGCUGAGGCGCGAAAGCGUGGGGAGCAAACAGGAUUAGAUACCCCCGUAGUCCCUGUCUCUUAUAC
rnacentral:rRNA from 1 species